GUAGGUGGCAAGCGUUAUCCGGAUUUACUGGGUGUAAAGGGCGUGUAGGCGGGAUUGCAAGUCAGAUGUGAAAUUCCAGGGCUCAACCCUGGAACUGCAUUUGAAACUGUAGUUCUUGAGUGAUGGAGAGGCAGGCGGAAUUCCGUGUGUAGCGGUGAAAUGCGUAGAUAUACGGAGGAACACCAGUGGCGAAGGCGGCCUGCUGGACGAUGACUGACGCUGAGGCUCGAAAGCGUGGGGAGCAA
rnacentral:rRNA from 1 species